rnacentral:rRNA from 1 species
GAUGAACGCUGGCGGCGUGCUUAACACAUGCAAGUCGAACGAAGCGCUUUUAUUUGAUUUCUUCGGAAUGAAGAUUUUAGUGACUGAGUGGCGGACGGGUGAGUAACGCGUGGGUAACCUGCCUCAUACAGGGGGAUAACAGUUAGAAAUGACUGCUAAUACCGCAUAAGACCACAGUACCGCAUGGUACAGGGGUAAUAACUCCGGUGGUAUGAGAUGGACCCGCGUCUGAUGAGGUAGUUGGGGGGGUAACGGCCUACCAAGCCGACGAUCAGUAGGCGACCUGAGAGGGUGACAGGCCACAUUGGGACUGAGGCACGGCCCAAAAUCCUACGGGAGGCAGCAGUGGGGAAUAUUGCACAAUGGGGGAAACCCUGAUGCAGCGACGCCGCGUGAGCGAUGAAGUAUUUCGGUAUGUAAAGCUCUAUCAGCAGGGAAGAAAAUGACGGUACCUGACUAAGAAGCACCGGCUAAAUACGUGCCAGCCGCCGCCGUAAGAC